UACGUAGGGUGCAAGCGUUAAUCGGAAUUACUGGGCGUAAAGCGUGCGCAGGCGGUUAUGUACGUCAGGUGUGAAAUCUCCGGGCUUAACCUGGGAACUGCAUUUGAAACUGGCAGGCUUGAGUCUUGUAGGGGAGGGUAGAAUUCCAGGUGUAGCGGUGAAAUGCGUAGAGAUCUGGAGGAAUACCGGUGGCGAAGGCGGCCCCCUGGACAAAGACUGACGCUCAGGUGCGAAAGCGUGGGGAGCAAACAGG
rnacentral:rRNA from 1 species